rnacentral:rRNA from 1 species
AAGCAGUAACAACGGCCACCGUAGAGUUUUGAACAUGGCUCAGGACGAACGCUGGCGGCGUGCCUAAUACAUGCAAGUCGAGCGGACAGAUGGGAGCUUGCUCCCUGAUGUUAGCGGCGGACGGGUGAGUAACACGUGGGUAACCUGCCUGUAAGACUGGGAUAACUCCGGGAAACCGGGGCUAAUACCGGAUGCUUGUUUGAACCGCAUGGUUCAAACAUAAAAGGUGGCUUCGGCUACCACUUACAGAUGGACCCGCGGCGCAUUAGCUAGUUGGUGAGGUAAUGGCUCACCAAGGCGACGAUGCGUAGCCGACCUGAGAGGGUGAUCGGCCACACUGGGACUGAGACACGGCCCAGACUCCUACGGGAGGCAGCAGUAGGGAAUCUUCCGCAAUGGACGAAAGUCUGACGGAGCAACGCCGCGUGAGUGAUGAAGGUUUUCGGAUCGUAAAGCUCUGUUGUUAGGGAAGAACAAGUACCGUUCGAAUAGGGCGGUACCUUGACGGUACCUAACCAGAAAGCCACGGCUAACUACGUGCCAGCAGCCGCGGUAAUACGUAGGUGGCAAGCGUUGUCCGGAAUUAUUGGGCGUAAAGGGCUCGCAGGCGGUUUCUUAAGUCUGAUGUGAAAGCCCCCGGCUCAACCGGGGAGGGUCAUUGGAAACUGGGGAACUUGAGUGCAGAAGAGGAGAGUGGAAUUCCACGUGUAGCGGUGAAAUGCGUAGAGAUGUGGAGGAACACCAGUGGCGAAGGCGACUCUCUGGUCUUUAUCUGCCACCGAGGUGGGAGGGACGGCCC